rnacentral:ncRNA from 1 species
UGCAGGAGUAGAAGCGUUCAGCGGCCCACCUUCUGGCGCCGCCCGGAAAUUGCUCUGGCA